rnacentral:sRNA from 1 species
UGACGGUCUUUGGCCACGAGGCGUAGAC